CACGUAGGGACCAAGCGUUGUCCGGAUUCAUUGGGCGUAAAGAGCUCGUAGGCGGUUCGAUAAGUCGGGUGUGAAACCUCCAGGCUCAACCUGGAGACGCCACCCGAUACUGUCGUGACUAGAGUCCAGUAGGGGAGCGUGGAAUUCCUGGUGUAGCGGUGAAAUGCGCAGAUAUCAGGAGGAACACCAGUGGCGAAGGCGACUUCCUGGCCUGUUCUUGACGCUGAGGCGCGAAAGCUAGGGGAGCAAACGGG
rnacentral:rRNA from 1 species